UCGACUGAAAUGUUCAUAAUAAAAUAUUCAGAAGUUAUUGAUGUUUUUUUUUGACCAAGGGUUAUGUUAUUAAUUAGUGCAGAUAUAGUAUUUAAAUUUUUUGGGUGAUUCUACAGGAAUGUACUCCUUAAAUAUACCGGCUAUGUUCAAUGCUAUUUUUCUAGUUAUUCAUAUACUGUAAAUGGAAUUUAAAGAAGCAAUACUACAUUAGAGCAAAAGGUAAAUUUACCAGUUUACAAAAAAAAAAAAGAGGUAAAUUUACCAACCAAAGAGAAGGAUGGAAAAGUAUAAUCAAAACAUCUUGACAAAAACACAAAAUCACUUACGAUUCCAUAAAUCAUUUUACAUUUAUGUACACAAAUUUUAAAAAAUAUUUGAUUUGUAGUAUAUUUUUAAAUAAAAGCAUCAUAUUGCAUAACAGUAUUUCAAACAACAAAAGAAAAAUUAAUAAAAAAAAAUUCAUAAAUUUUGCAUUAAAAUAAAAUAAUAUUUAUUCUAUAACAAAAAAAAUUAUUUUACCAUGACAUUUGGUAUCAAACGAAGAAGAACAUAUAUCAGAAUUUGCAACUUAUAUUAUUCAGUAAUCUCAUAAUUGUUCUUGAAAACAACUUUAAUUAUUUAUUUAUUUUAUGGUAAACAUUCACAGACUCAUGUAAAUUUUGUAAACUAAGAUAGCAACUCUGCAUCGAUAUUUACGAUAAAAGACGUUUGUUUUUUAACAUUGUGUGUCAAACUAUCCGUUUUAAUGUUUUCUGUCUUAGGUACAUACAGUUCAUAUCUGAGUCGGUGAAAUUUUUUUCAAAAGCUUAAUGUCUUCUAUGUAGAUUUGCCGUUCGUAAUAAAAGUAAAAUACCUUAUUUAUUUUUUGCCGUUCGAAAACAAUUUAAUACUCAUAUAAAUACGUUGUCGUUUAGUCUGUCAGAACGGACACGACCAAUGCGAAUCUUAAAGUUUUACCUUUGCUAUGUAAAAUCUAACACGUACGUUAACGUACCCUUAGUGAUGGCAUUUGGGCUCUCCCGCGUCCAAUUGUCCCGCCCCGCUGCGGUUUUGUUUUCAAUCGGGUCUUUGCGGGUCGUACCGCGGCGGGAUGCGGUCCCUAAACCAUAUGACCAAUCCCGACCCGCACUAUAGGAGCGGGUAUGCGGGUCGUCCCGCGGGCCAGCAAUGUUCAUCAACCUGGACAUGUCACCUGCAUGAAAAAGAGACGAACAUUAGUCAUACUAUUAAACAUAAUGAUGCUCAGACGCUCUUAGAACUGAUCCUAAAGUUAUUACUCAUGACUGAAGAUUAGAAUUAAUUUAAGUAAUGUAAAUGAACACCAAAACAAUAUCCAACUAAUGUAAUGUGGCCUCGGUAAAAACCUUAUCGGGAAAACCCAUUGGGACAAAACCCGACAAGGGAAAAAGAGCGCCACGAAAUCCAUAAUAUAAAUAAAAUAAAAACACCAGAGCAAAAUAAAAAUCAAGUUUCUUCUUCUUCAACUUCAUCAUCAGACCAUGGUACUGUCUCUUCUUCACCAACUAUUUCACCUUCUGAAAUAUUAAAAAAAAAUCGAAGUUAAUUAGAUUUAAAGAACAUGGCACCCUAAAAUAUAUAAUAAUGUAAAUAAUUUACCAUGUUCAUAAGCUUCGAAUCCUUUUAGCCAAUUCCUGCUACAUAUCAGAGCUUGCACAUUUUUGGGAAGUAGACGGCUCCUGUAUUUGUUCAGAACUCUCGAACCGAUGCUAAAAGAGGAUUCUGAAGCCACUGUUGUGAUCGGAAUGCUAAGUAGAUCACAAGCCAUUGCUGGCAAAUCACCAAACCUGUGAGUAUUAUCUUUCCACCAGUCAAGAAUAUCCAAACUUUCAAAGCUAUCCAUAUCUAGCGCAGGUUCAUCCAAAUAAGCUUGGAGAGCUGUCUUUCCACUCGCAGCAACACUACUUUUGCGAAACGCAAAAAAAUCCUGUAGUGUUUAAAAAAAUAUUUCACAACGGACACGUUGCUCAGCCUUUGCUCCACCGGCGCUCAGGAUUUUUUAAACACUACAGGAUUUUUUUGCGUUUCGCAAAAGUAGUGUUGCUGCGAGUGGAAAGACAGCUCUCCAAGCUUAUUUGGAUGAACCUGCGCUAGAUAUGGAUAGCUUUGAAAGUUUGGAUAUUCUUGACUGGUGGAAAGAUAAUACUCACAGGUUUGGUGAUUUGCCAGCAAUGGCUUGUGAUCUACUUAGCAUUCCGAUCACAACAGUGGCUUCAGAAUCCUCUUUUAGCAUCGGUUCGAGAGUUCUGAACAAAUACAGGAGCCGUCUACUUCCCAAAAAUGUGCAAGCUCUGAUAUGUAGCAGGAAUUGGCUAAAAGGAUUCGAAGCUUAUGAACAUGGUAAAUUAUUUACAUUAUUAUAUAUUUUAGGGUGCCAUGUUCUUUAAAUCUAAUUAACUUCGAUUUUUUUUUAAUAUUUCAGAAGGUGAAAUAGUUGGUGAAGAAGAGACAGUACCAUGGUCUGAUGAUGAAGUUGAAGAAGAAGAAACUUGAUUUUUAUUUUGCUCUGGUGUUUUUAUUUUAUUUAUAUUAUGGAUUUCGUGGCGCUCUUUUUCCCUUGUCGGGUUUUGUCCCAAUGGGUUUUCCCGAUAAGGUUUUAAUGAGGCAACAUUAGCACAUUACAAGCCCGAUAUGGUUAUGGCAUCCAAGGGGGAGUGUUAUAAAUCCAUUGUAUGGAUAUGUGGAUUGCCAUUAACCAUCAAGGAGGUUUACAUCCGACCCGACUAUCCGGUCUAUCUACACCCGUCUCCGGUCCGUCUACAUUCGUCCAAGACUAGUCAAGAUGAAGACUCAUUCAACCGGAACAUUUAUGAGCUUUGACCAAGUCUGUAUCUUUGUAAUGAAUGUAGUCAAUAUGUAUUAAAUGUGUAGAUUCUCUCUUUUGCUGUAAACCCUUGUAUGAACCUCCACUAUAUAUUGAUAGUGAGAGCUAAUGAGAAAGACAUAACUUUCACAGCAACACUUCUCAUAUUUCUAACAUAUUUUUAUUUAUUUAAUCUUUUAUUUUUUAUUUUAAAAGCAUAAUAUAAUUUGACAAGUUAUUUUGUUUCUUUAAUUAAAAGAUAGUAGAUCUAAAAUGACAACUGGUUGGUGAACCUUUAGAUUUAUCCUAGGAAUUGAACCCAAGAAAAAGUCAUCAUAUAUAAAAAGCUUUUCUUUCAUUUCCUAUGUUGGUCCCAAAAAGAUGUCUUCCUAUUUUUCUUUUAAGACCUCAUCAUCAAUAUCAACUUUGGAAUGUGAUUCUCUUUAAAUUUACAGCUUGUGGGGAAUGAUGAUAAACACACAAGGAAUCUUGGUGAAGAACCAAAUUGAAACUCUUUUCUUAGACCAUGUGAAAACUGUCUCUUAUCAAUCAAAUCUAUUGUGGAUAAACUCUAAAGUCGAAGACACUAACUAAACUACUAACACAUAUGGUAAUAAUUUUCUUUGAUUCCAAAAAAGCAAAGAAACUACGACCAUGAUUACGGUUUACUAAAAUCAUGUUCAUGGUUUCGGUGCAAACAUCCUAAUAUAAGACUGAUAAACAGAAGCAAACAAAUGAACUUUAAUUUCCACUCUGAUAUAGAGAUCAGAUCCGUUAUUGAAAAACACACCAAACAUAAUUGUUUCACAAACUUCAAAAGACAAAAAAGAUACUACCCGUACAGUGUUUCUUCAUAUCCACGAGUUGUGAGGAGUGUGCAUGAUGCAGAGAAAAGACAAAGAGAACUUCUUUUACUUCACGUUAUCACCGUUCA